rnacentral:rRNA from 1 species
CGAGCACUACCUUAUUCAGGGGGAUAGCCCGAAAAAUUCGAUACACGCAAAACCAGCACAGCAUUGUGUAAUGAUCAAAUAUUUAUAGGAAUAAGAUGGGCAUGCGUGUCAUUAGCUAGUUGGCGGGGUAACGGCCCACCAAGGCGACGAUGACUAGGGGAUCUGAGAGGAUGACCCCCCCACACUGGUACUGAGACACGGACCAGACUCCUACGGGAGGCAGCAGUAAGGAAUAUUGGUCAAUGGAGGCAACUCUGAACCAGCCAUGCCGCGUGCAGGAAGACAGCCCCUCUGGGUCGUAAACUGCUUUUAUUCGGGAAUAAACCUUUCUACGUGUAAGAGAGCUGAAUGUACCGAAGGGAAUAAGGAUCGGCUAACUCCGUGCCAGCAGCCGCGGUAAUACGGAGGAUCCCAAGCGUUAUCCGGAUUUAUUGGGUUUAAAGGGUGCGUAGGCGGCUUGUUAAGUCAGGGGUGAAAGACGGUGGCUCAACCAUCGCAGUGCCUUUGAUACUGAUGAGCUUGAAUGAACUAGAGGUAGGCGGAAUGUGACAAGUAGCGGUGAAAUGCAUAGAUAUGUCACAGAACACCGAUUGCGAAGGCAGCUUACUAUGGUUUUAUUGACGCUGAGGCACGAAAGCGUGGGGAUCAAACAGGAUUAGAUACCCUGGUAGUCCACGCCCUAAACGAUGAAUACUCGCUGUUAGCGAUACACAGUUAGCGGCUAAGCGAAAGCGUUAAGUAUUCCACCUGGGGAGUACGCCCGCAAGGGUGAAACUCAAAGGAAUUGACGGGGGCCCGCACAAGCGGAGGAGCAUGUGGUUUAAUUCGAUGAUACGCGAGGAACCUUACCCGGGCUUGAAAGUUAGUGAAUCAUUUAGAGAUAGAUGAGUGAGCAAUCACACGAAACUAGGUGCUGCAUGGCUGUCGUCAGCUCGUGCCGUGAGGUGUUGGGUUAAGUCCCGCAACGAGCGCAACCCCUAUGUUUAGUUGCCAGCACGUUAAGGUGGGGACUCUAAACAGACUGCCUGUGCAAACAGAGAGGAAGGAGGGGACGACGUCAAGUCAUCAUGGCCCUUACGUCCGGGGCUACACACGUGCUACAAUGGGUGGUACAGAGGGCAGCAAGCUGGUAACAGCAAGCAAAUCUCAAAAAGCCAUUCACAGUUCGGAUAGAGGUCUGCAACUCGACCUCUUGAAGUUGGAUUCGCUAGUAAUCGCGUAUCAGCAAUGACGCGGUGAAUACGUUCCCGGGCCUUGUACACACCGCCCGUCAAGCCAUGGAAGUUGGGGGUACCUAAAGUAUGUAACCGCAAGGAGCGUCC